UGCUGCUGCGUCUGACCUAAUCUCACAUCACAAGGCUGGACAUGAACAAAGAGACCGAGGGCAGGAACCAAGGGCUGCUCAGAGGAAGCUGACACAGGCUCACCAGAGGCAAGCUGGUAGAGUAACUGGCAGGAAAAUCUGUGACCUUUUAAAACCCAGAGUGCAGGCAUCGCUACCUGAGCAGCAGAGAAGUCACCUUCCCCAACAGUCAGAGAUGCCAUGACAAAGAGAAGAGAUUUCAAACUAUAAAAAGUGCUAUCUUAAGGCCCAUUCAGUGCUGGAGAGCUGGCCCAGGGAGUAAAGAGCUGGCUGUACUAACAUGAAGACCUGAGUUCGAGUCCCCAUGUGAAGGAAGCCCGACUGGGUGGCAAGCAUCUGUAACCCUGUGCUGAGUGAGGGACCUGAGAUCUCAUCAAACACCAGUUUGGACCAAUUCUACAGAGUAAACCUUCCAUCCUAGACUAGAGUCCCGGCUACUGCUGUACUGUUUACCACUGAAGUAACCCAAACACGGCACAAAUUCCUUCUCCUCUAUCGGGGUGAGGCCUGGUGCUCGGCUGCUGUCUCCUGCUCCAGAGGAGCCGUGUGCAAAGGCAGCUGUGAAACCGUAGAUGUCUCAGGAUCACUCCUUGAGUAAACUGCUGAACGCUGCUGUCAUGUGUGGACACGAGGCCAAGAUUUUUUUUGGAACUCGGAGUCCCGGAAGCGUUCUCAUUCUUCCUAUAACCAGUUUUAAUGCCUUAACCAAGGAAGAAUCAAGAAUUACAUUGGGAAGUUAAAGUCUAGCAAACCCACAGCCAGCGCUAAGGACAUUCUCGACAUCUGAGCAGAUGUGAGAGUACACGGUUUGUUCUUUUUGCUGAUGAACUGACAGAGAAAAUGAGAACUCUCCUGCUAAUCUUCAAAGCAGUUGUCUUUCACUUAUGUUUUUAUUGGUCGGCAGGGUGCAGAUUGAACCCAGGGUCACUCGCACACCAAACAAGCGAGUCACCGUUUCUCAGUAUCCCCAGACCAUUUCAUCUCUCACUCCAUCAGAGACGACCAGUAAACCCUGAGCCCUUCACGCUUUCCUGUUUCCUCUCUAAGUUCCGUUCUUAGUCCCCAAGCAGUGUGGGUCUGUGCCCAGGCACCAUGUCUACGGCCGGAGGAUCAUGGCUUCAGAAUCACUCUCUUAUGGUUUAAGAUUAAGAGAUUUUUAUCUAUCUAUCUAUCUAUCUAUCUAUUUAUUUAUUUUUACUGAAAUUGUAGAAUUCAGGGGGUGGUGCUCAUUUGUAUUGCUUGUGAUAUUUCAAAGAGUUCUACCAAGUAAGCGUGGGAGAUGGGAGAAUGUAUAGGGAGAAGAAUUGAGAGCAAGCCUUGGCAUGGUAGGGUACUCAUAGCUCCAGCCUUUUAGGGGCCGAGACAAGAUGUUUUCAUGAAGAAUUUGAAGCUAGCCUGGGUAAUAUAAUGAGACCAGGUAUAAAAAAACAAGUUUGGGUUUCAGAGAAGACACACACACACUCACACACACUCACACACACACACACACACACACACACUAUACUUUAAAAGUCAUUACAUUUCUAAUGGCAAGAAAAUAGUUUAUUUUAU